UACGUAGGGUGCGAGCGUUAAUCGGAAUUACUGGGCGUAAAGCGUGCGCAGGCGGUUUUGUAAGCCAGAUGUGAAAUCCCCGGGCUUAACCUGGGAAUGGCAUUUGGGACUGCAAGGCUUGAGUGCGGCAGAGGAGACUGGAAUUCCUGGUGUAGCAGUGAAAUGCGUAGAUAUCAGGAGGAACACCGAUGGCGAAGGCAGGUCUCUGGGCUGACACUGACGCUCAUGCACGAAAGCGUGGGAUC
rnacentral:rRNA from 1 species